GCCCCGGUAGAUCAGUUGGAAGAUCUUCCGCUUUGAAUAAGUACUUUCGAACACGUUUCAGCGGACUCCGCGGGUUCGAAUCCCACCUGGGGCA